AAUAUCCUUCUUUGCCCUAUUUGAUCAGUGUUGGUUUAAAAUCUGUUUUGUCUGAUAUGGGAAGAGAAUCCCCUGAUCAUUUUUUUUCCAUUUGCCUGAUAGAUAUUUCUCCAUCCUUUUAAUUUGAGCCUAUGGGUGUUGUUACUUGUGUAAUGGGUCUCUUGAAGACAGCAGACAAUGGAGUCUUGCUUCUUGGUUCAACUUGCCACUCUGUGCCUUUUAAGUGGGAUGUUUGGCCCGUUUAUUUACAUUCAAGGUCAAUAUUGAUAAAUGAGGAAUUGAUCUUGUAGUUGUGUUGUUAGCUGGUUGUUAUGUAGAAUUGGUUGUAUAGUUGCUUUAUAGUGUCAAUAGGCUAUGUACUUAAGUGUGUUUUUGUGGUGGCAGGUAUCAUUCUUUCAUUUCCAUGUUUAGAACUACUUUUAGGACCUCUUGUGAGGCAGAUUUAGUGGUAAUGAAUUCCCUUAGUAUUUGCUUGUUUGAAAAUGAUUUAAUUUUUAUUUUUCUUAUAAAAAUUAGUUUUGCAAGAUAUGAAAUUCUUGGUUGAAAUUGAUUUUCUUUAAAGAUGCUAAAAAUUGGUCCCCAGUCUCAUCUGGUUCGCAAGGUUUCUGCUAAAAGUUCUGCUGUUAGCCUGAUAAGUCCCUUUGUAAGUGACCUGCCCCUUCCCUUUAGUUGCCUUUAAGAUGUUUUUCUUUUGAUUUGACCCUAGGUAAUCUAAUGACUAUGUGUCUUUCAGAUAGUCAUCUUAUAUAGUAUCUUACAAGAAUUCUCCGAAUAGGCCACACAUGUUUCUUGGAAGGAGGACAGAGCCUAGCAAGGAUGCUACAGGCCCCCAGGAAGAACCUGUAACAGAGAAGGAAGCAGUCAGGGAUGGACAGGAGUGAGCAGGAUGGAGUGCAGGCAUCCUUCUUGGACUGGGAGAACAGCCUUAGGAGGACACAGUGUCAUCAGCUCUCAAGCUCCUGGGCUCCUACAGAUGCUCCUCGCAGCAGCAGAGUGAGAAAGACUUUCUGUCGACUGGACUUGGAGGAUCCUGAGGGCCGCCAGAUUUGCUGGGGAUGCUGAAGUGCGCAGGACGCUGGAGGGACGGCCAGCAUGCAGCGCCAGAGCUAGCUCUGAAUCUAGAGACUCUGGGUCAGUUUCUCCAUCAUGUCAACACCUGGCAUCCCACCUGGACAGAGGAGUGUUGUUUCGCUGCUCAGGGUGGAGCCCAUGGACUGGAGUGCAUUCUCUGUCUGGGAUUCUAAUUAGCUUUUCUUUUUUCAUUUUCUCUUCUGACUACUGCUUUCAGAAGUCAGUGGGGGCUCCAAUUUCUAAGAUUUUCUGUGGCCUUAAUAAACAAUUGAAUUUAACAUACAACUGUUUUUAUUUAUUUUUUGUUUGGAUAAACAACAGACACUGAGCACCGUCCAUGUGUCAGCUACGCUGGGCACAAUCUGGGGAAUGGGAUUGUUU
rnacentral:lncRNA from 1 species